rnacentral:rRNA from 1 species
AUGAUUAAAGGAGAAGAUUGCUUAUCUACCAAACAUAUGCAGAUCAAAUCACGUCUUAUAAUAAGAAGAAAUCUUUCUUGGUAUCAAUCCACUUACCCCUCAAUCAUUGAGAAUCAGAAGAAUCCUUUUCGAGUUUCCAAUUUUUUUUAUUUGAAGUCUGGGUUCUUCUAUCUUUGA